GGUAAUUCUGGAGCUAAUACAUGCAUCCAGACCCGACGCAAGGACGGCCGCAUUUAUUAGAACAAAGCCAUCCGGUCCCCGGACCGUACUCUGGUGACUCUGAAUAACUGAGCAAAUCACAUGGUCUCGCACCGGUGAUGUAUCUUUCAAGUGUCUGCCUUAUCAACUUUCGAUGGUAGUUUAUGUGCCUACCAUGGUUGUAACGGGUAACGGAGAAUCAGGGUUUGACUCCGGAGAGGGAGCCUGAGAAACCGGCUACCACUUCUAAGGAAGGCAGCAGGCGCGCAAAUUACCCAUUCUCGGUACGAGGAGGUAGUGACGAAAAAUACCAAGCCGAGGCUCAUUGAGUUUCGGCAUUGGAAUGAGAACAAUCCAAAUCUUUUAACGAGGAUCUAGUGGAGGGCAAGUCUGGUGCCAGCAGCCGCGGUAAUUCCAGCUCCRMGAGUGUAUAUUUAUUUUGCUGAGUUUAAAAAGCUCGUAGUUGGAUCUGCGUGUUCAGCGUCUGGUGCGGUCUCUGACCGCUACUGGAACGCGACACAUCGAAUGCCGGUUUGCCGUUGAUGCUCUUCAUCAAGUGUCAGCGGUGGCUGGUGAGUUUACUUUGAACAAAUUAGAGUGCUCA
rnacentral:rRNA from 1 species